CUUCUAGAUCCCUGAAACAAUACACAAAUUGGUUUCCUUGGCCCUGGGUUCUCUAGCUCUAGACCAUCUGUCUUAAGUCAGUUUCACUAAAUGCAGAACCUGAGAUAGGAUUUCUUGUUCAUGUGAUCAAUUGAGGGAGUGCUCUUAGAAGAAGAGAGUGAAGGCAGCAGGAUGCAGCUAGAGCAAAAUACUAACAAAAAUAUACUCUCACCAGGGACUGGCUUGAGCCAAUGUCACAUGGAAGCUUUGGAGCAUCAACGACAAGCCAGCUGGAGUUGGUGCCACCUUGAGACAAAGUGACCAGUCAUUUGUAAGCCUUUGACGGUGGAGUUCAGAUUUAAGGCAUUUUUCAGGAGCAGCUAAAUCCACGACCUGAGAUGUCUAUUGCUGCCUGCAAGACAGCUGGAUAAAGGCAGUUCUCUCAGGGACUAGUAUGCCUCCACACACAGGUAUCCAAAGGGCAAUGUAACCCAAAAAUGUGAACAACUGGUAUAUAUGGAGCAUCAGGAAGAGUAGCUAAUGGAUGUGGAGCUUAAUACCAAGGCGAUGGGUUGAUUUGUGCAGCAAACCACCAUGGUUCACGUUUACCUGUGUAGCAUACCUGUACAUCCUGCACAUAUACCCGAGCUUAAAAGUUGAAGGAAAAUAAAUAAAUUUAAUAUAAAUAUUUAUUUUGAAUUCUUUAUCAGGAAGUUUGUAUAUCUCCAUGUCUUUUGGGUCAGCUACUAGAAGAUUAUUGUGUUCUUUGGGUAGGAGUUAUGUCUCGUUAUUGGUUUUUUGUGUUUCUUGUUGACUUACAUUGAGGUCUGAACAUUUGAAAAAGUAGAGGCUUGUUCCAGUCUGCAGACUGGCUUUGUCUUGGGGGAGCCCUUCACCAGUCAGCCUACCCAGAGAUUCUGGGUAUACCACCUGGUAUGGUUCAUGAGCAGGCUUGCUGCUAAUGUCCUCCAGCAGGCUGGCCUGUUUCUUGGGUCAGCAGGUGAGCAGACCCUGGUGCCUGGGUCUGCAGGUGCCAACCUGGUGACUAGGGCCAUGGGGGGUAUUCUAGGGCUGGGGUGGGCAUGAAGUCUGGGGCUGUAGGGGCCAUCCCAGUGCUGGGGGUGGUCUGGAGCCUAGGGCUGCUGGGGCUACCCUGGCCCUAGGGUGGGCCUAGAGUCUGAAUCUGUGGGGGCUGACCUGGCCCUAGGGUAGAUCCAAAGCCACUGAGGCCCAGUCUGGAUCCUGGGGCUGAGGCAGGCCUGAAGACUGAGUCUGCCAGGCCGGACUGGAGCCUGGGGCUGCAGGAUCCAGCCUUGGACUAGGGUAGUCCUAUAGGUUCAGUCCAGAGGGACCGGCCUGGAGUCUUAGGUUAUGGUGAGCCCAGUGUUGGGUUUUACUGUGGCAGGCCCAGUGUUGGCAUCCAAGGCAAAGUGCAGUGCUUACUUUUCUCUCCUUUCCCCAAGUGAAGGGUAUCUCUCUCCAUGCCGUGCUGCCUGAAGUUGGGGGCAGUGAUGCAGGUAAUAUAAAGCUGUCCUUCUCACCCUCCCCAGUGCUACUCAUAACAUCAGGAUGAAGCUUACAAACAACACAUUGAGUAAAAGGAGUCAGACAUAAAAGAACACAUUGAUAUGAUUCCCUCAAUGUUAAGUUCAAGAGCAGGAUAAUCUAAACUACAUUGUUUAGUGAUGCUUUUUAUAAGAGAUAAAAAUAUCUUUAAAAAGCAAUGAUAUAAUUAACAAAAUGUCAGAACAAAGAUUAGUCUCUGGGAGGACAAUAUAGAAGGAAAUUGGGAGUCUGACGAGGCUCUGUUUCUUAGACUGAAUGGUUGUUACAGGGGUGCUUUCUUUAAAAGUGUUCCUUAAACAACAGCUUGUAUAGAUUGUAUGCACUUCCCUGUCUGUAUAAUAUAAUUCAAAAUAAAACAAGGGAAAUAAUUUGCAAAAGAAAAUGUCUCCUGGAUGUCUUGGACUUAGAAAAUAAAAGCAAGAAUUAGUAGGUAGCAGACAAGCUGUAAGCAAUUUUGCACAGUUGGGUAUACAAAGUGGUAUUGGCUGAUAGUUUUCACAUUCCACUCACGGAGAGGUAGAUGGGUUUAAUAGCUGUGUUUAAAGUGUCAGAUGCAAGAACAAUGAUAGGUUUCCCUUAAACGAUUUUCACUAAUUCCCUCCCAGCUCAAGAACUUUUUUCAUUAAAAUGGUCCUUUGCUGCCUAUCAGAAACAAUUAAAUCCUCACCUCAUAGCAGUCUCCAUCUUACGUCAACCACUCCCUUUGGCCCCCAAAAUAUACCUCCAAUAUUAUCUAACACGAACUGGAAUUGCCACAUGGUCAAGGCAAUAAAGAAAUAAAGCCACGAAAGAAACCAAAUGAAAGCAAAGGUAUAAAAUGAUUUAGAUGUUAGUCUGCAGAAAGAAAAAGCUGAAGGAAUUAGAAACAGCCACAGGAACUUUCUGUGAACCAGGAGAGGCACUUCCAUUUACAAACCACACUUUGUUUUUCAUAGAGUGGGCUUGAUCAUCACUUAAGAACUGAAAAUUCAGCAUUCCUUCUAAGGUGCAUUUUGUUCAAAUUGAUAUAAGUGCCCCAGAUGGUUUGGCUUAUGGUAUCCCAUUGAUUAUUGCGUUCUGCUCUUGCAAGUCAUAGAUCUGUUGUAAUCUAACUGUCUGGGGAGUGGCCAUUAUUCUAGUUUCAAACCCAUUCUGUCCUCAGUCACACGCAUUCAAGCAAAGUAAUGCAGGGGGACCAGAUAAAAGCCGCCCAUUAGAAACCUCAGUUGCUGCUUGCCUCUCCCACAGAAUUGAAUAUAUUACUCCAGCUAUCGUCAACAAACAUGCUUCAACAACAGGAUCCUCACUGUUUGGAAGACAGCCCCUGAGACCCAGAGCAAAUGGGUCAAAGUCUCAGUUACAUCAGUAUAACUACAAAGACAAUAAUUCUUACCUCUCUCACAGGAUCCAGUGAAAAAGGAAUUCCAGAAAAGGACUGACUGCUGACAAGAUUGGUUCUUGGCUGGCAUCUGGGAACUUACAUUUCAGGAGGGUUUCUGCUGUUAACUGAUAAGCACCAUUCACCGAGCCAAAAGUAUCUGUGAAAAGAAUUGGUUUUUGUUGAACUCCUGCUUUCCUGCUGGGAAUCUGAAAUUGCAUACAUGCCAGACACAGAGGGGAUAUAUAUUAGUCCACUCUCAUGCUGCUAAUAAAGACAUAUCCCAGACCAGGUAAUUUAUAAAGGAAAGAGGUUUAAUUGACUCACAGUUCGGCAUGGCUGGGGAGGCCUCACAAUCAUGGUGGAAGGCAAAGAAAGAGCAAAGGAAUGUCUUAAAUGGUGGCAGGAAAGAGUGUAUGCAAGGGAUCUGCUCUUUAUAAAACCAUCAGAUCUCAUGAGACUUAUUCACUGUCACAAGAACAGCAUGGGAGAACCUGCCCCCAUGAUUCAAUUACUUCCCACUAAGUCCCUUCCAUGACACAUUGGGGAAUGUGGGAGCUGAAAUUCAAGAUGAGAUUUGGGUGGGGACACAGCCAAACCAUAUGAUUCUGUUCCUGGCCCCUCCCAAAUCUUAUGCCCUCACAUUUCGAAACCAAUCAUGCCUUCCCAGCAGUCCUCCAAAGUCUUAACUCAUUUCAACAUUAACUCAAAAGUCCGCAGUCCAAAGUCUCAUCUAAGACAAGUCAAGUCCCUUCCAACUAUGAGCCUGUAAAAUCAAAAACAAGUUAUUUACUUCCUACAUACAAUGGGGAUACAAGCAUUGGGUAAAUAUGCCCAUGCUAAAUGGGAGAAAUUGGCAAAAACAAAGGAGCUACAGGCCCCAUGCAAGUGUGAAAUCCAGCAGGGCAGUCAAAUCUCAAAGCUCCAAAAUGAUCUCCUUUGACUCCAUGUCUCACAUCCAGGUCAUUCUGAUGCAAGAAGUGGGCUCCAAGGCCUUGGGGAGCUCCACUCCUGUGGCUUAAUAGGGUAUAGACCCCCUACUGGCUGCUUUCACAGGCUGGCAUUGUUUGCAGCUUUUCCAGGUGCAUGGUGCAAGCUGUUGGUGGAUCUACCAUUCUGGGGUUUGGAAGAUGGAGGUCUCUUCUCACAGCUCCACUAGGCAGUGCUCCAGUGGGGACUCUGUGUAGGGGCUCUAACCCCACAUUUCCCUUCCACACUGCUCUAGCAGAGAUUCUCCAUGAGGGCCCUGCCCCUGAAGCAAACUUCUGCCUGGACAUCCAGACAUUUCCAUACAUCCUCUGAAAUCUAGGUUCCGAAUCCUCAAUUCUUGACUUCUGUGCACUCUCAAAUUCAACACCACGUGGAAGCUGUUAAGGCUUGGGUCUGGAACUCUCUGAAGCCACAGCCUGAGCUGUACCUUGGCCCCUUUUAGCCACAGCUGGAGUGGCUAGGAUGCAAAGUACCAAGUUCCUAGGUUGCACACAGCAGGGGGGCCCUGGGCCUGGCCCAGGAAGCCAUUUUUCCCUCCUAGUCCUCAGAGCCUGUGAUGGGAGGGACUUCCAUGAAGGUCUCUGACAUGCUUUGGAGACAUUUUCCCCAUUUUCUUGGUGACUAACAUUUGGCUCCUCAUUAUUUAUGCAAAUUUUUGCAGGUGGCUUGAAUUUCUCCCCAGAAAAUGGGGUUUUCUUUUCUAUUGCAUCAUUAGGCUGCAAAAUUUCCAAACCUUUAUGCUCUGCUUCCUCUUCAAGCUUUGCCACUUAGAAUUUUCCUCUGCUGCAUACCCUAAAUUAUCUCUCUCAGGUUCGAAGUUUCACAGAUCUCUAGGGCAGGGGCAAAAUGCCACCAGUCUCUUUGCCUAGCUAUAGUGACCUUUUCUCCAGUUCCCAGGAAGUUCUUCAUCUCCAUUUGAGACCACCUCAGCCUGGACUUUAUUGUCCAUAUCACUAUCUGCAUUUUGGUCAAAGCCAUUCAAUAAGUCUCUAGGAAGUUCAAAACUUUCCCACAUCUUCCUGUUUUCUGAGCCCUCCAAGUCUCUAGGAAGUUCCAAACUUUCCCACAUUUUCCUAUCUUCUUCUGAGCCCUCCAAACUGUUCCAACCUCUGCCUGUUACCCAGUUCCAAAGUCACUUCCACAAUUUUGGGUAUCUUUACAGCAGCGUUCAACUCUCUGCAGUAUCAAUUUACUGUAUUAGUCCAUUCUCAUGCUGCUAAUAAAGACAUACCCAAGACUGGGUAAUUUAUAAAGGAAAGAGAUUUAAUUGACUCAAAGUUUAGCAUGGCUGGGGAGGCCUCACAAUCAUGGCAAAAGGCGAAGGAAGAGCAAAGGCAUGGUGGCAGGCAAGAGAGUAUGUGCAGUGAACUGCCCUUUAUAAAACAAAACCAUCAGAUCUCAUGAAACUUAUUCACUUUCAUGAGAACAGCACAGGAAAACCAAUUCCCAUGAUUCAAUUACCUCCCACCAGGUCAUUCCCACGACAUGUGGAGAUUAUGAGAGCUACAAUUCAAGAUGAGAUUAGGGUGGAGACAUAGCCAAACUAUAUCAGAGUACCUAUGUGAUCAGCCCCCAAUAAAAAUCCUGAGCAGCAAGGCUCUAAUAAGCUUCAAUAAUUGAUGUUUCAGAUGUAUUAUCAUAAUUCAUUGCUGAGGUAAUUAAGUGCAUCCUGUGUGACUCCACUGGGACUAGAUUGUUGAAAGUUUGCACCUGGUUUCCCCAUGACUUUGCCCUAUGUGCCUUUUCUCUUUGCUAAUUGUGGUUGGUAUCCUUUUUCUGUAAUAAAUCAUAG
rnacentral:lncRNA from 10 species